GAACGACCAUAGAGAAGCCUUCGAGAGAUACUGGAAGAGUUUUCUUUUCUGCUAAACAAACGUACCACCAUGGAAGUCUUUUAUAGAGAGAUAUGGUGGAUGGCUUGGAAGAGCAUGACAUUUACUGUUGUGUCAGUAUUUUCUCCUUGGACCUUGAAAAUCUAUGGUGGGGCCACGCAAACUUCUCAACAGACCGUACCGAUAUCCGCAGCCGGUCUCCAAGGUGAAGAGUCUCUAGUCGAUAGAAUAAUGUAGGUAAGGGAAGUCGGCAAAUUAGAUCCGUAACUUCGGGAUAAGGAUUGGCUCUGAAGAUUGAGAUUGUCGGGCUUGA
rnacentral:rRNA from 1 species